GACCUUGUUAACGGCCGCAGUACUCUAACCGCGCAAAGGUAGCAUAAUCACUUGUUCUUUAAAUGAGGACUUGUAUCAACGGCAUCACGAGAGUUCCACUGUCUCCUUUUUCCAAUCAGUGAAACUAAUCUCCCCGUGAAGAAGCGGGGAUAAACCUAUAAGACGAGAAGACCCCAUGGAGCUUUAAACCUAGCUACACUCCUGACUAUUAUAUCAUCUUAGUUGACAGGAAUCUGUAUGCUCAGUUUUAGGUUGGGGUGACCACGGAGCACAAUAAAACCUCCAUGAUAAACGAAACUAUUUUCUUAUCUAAGAACCACAUUUCUAAGAAUUAGCACACUAAUUUAAUAUGAUCCGAUAAACGAUCAACGAACCAAGUUACCCUGGGGAUAACAGCGCAAUCCAUUUCAAGAGCCCCUAUCGACAAAUGGGUUUACGACCUCGAUGUUGGAUCAGGAUAUCCCAGUGGUGCAGCAGCUACUAAAGGUUCGUUUGUUCAACAAUUAAAAUCCU
rnacentral:rRNA from 1 species